UUUUACCCCAGCAGCCAGGUUGAGUUCAAGCUGGGCUUUAGCCUUUCUGAUUUUCUCCCUGCACAUCUUAACAACUUCUUGGUAUUCUUUCCGGGUUGCCCGUCCCUUCUUCCACAGGAGGUGGAUUCUCUUUUUCUCCUGGAGCCUCAAGAAUAGUUCCCUAUUCAUCCGCGUCGGCUCAUUUUGCGGCUCAGGGGGACAGCCUGCUCCUGCGCCUUGAAGACCUCCUUCUUAAAGAGCAACCAGCCAUCUUGGACCCCUUUUCUCUCUAAGACUGAGCCCCAGGGGACUCUCCCUACUAGUCUCCUGAACAAUUCAAAGUCUGCCCUCUGGAAGUCCAAGGUAGCAGUUCUGCUGUUCCCCCUCGUGCCUCAACCAAGAAUCGAGAACUCUACCAUGUCGUGGUCACUCUGCCCAAGACAGCCCCCAACCUCUACAUCUCCCACCAGACCUUCUCUGUUUGUGAACAGCAGGUCUAACGGGGCAGCUCCUCUCGUAGGUUCUCUUAUCAUCUGCAUCAAGAAGUUGUCCUCCAUACAUUCCAGAAACCUCCUAGACUGCUUCUUCUGUGCUAACUUGUAUUCCCAGCAUAUGUCAGGAAAGUUGAAGUCCCCCAUGAGGACAAGGGCCGGGGAUCGCGCAGCUUCCACCAGCUGCUCACACAACACCUCAUCUGUCUCUUCAUCCUGGUUUGGCGGUCUCUAACAGACGCCCACCAGGAUGUCUGCCUUGUCGGCUCUUCCCCUGAUCUUAACCCAUAAGGAUUCAACCUUCUUUUCCCCAGUCAUAAGUUCAGUAACCUCAGUGCACUCUUUAACGUAGAGAGCCACUCCACCACCCCUCCUUCCCUGCCUAUCCUUCCUGAAGAGUUUAGAGCCACUCCACCACCCCUCCUUCCCUGCCUAUCCUUCCUGAAGAGUUUGUAGCCAUCCAUUGCAGCACUCCAGUCGUGGUCCCUCCACGUUUCUGUAAUGGCAACUAGGUCAUAGUUUGCCUGCUGCACAAUGGCUUCUAACUCUUCUUGUUUGUUGCCCGUGCUGCGUGCAUUGGUAUAGACACACUUUAGCUGGGCCUCUCUCCUCACCCCUAAUCCUAUUAUCGCUCCCCCAGGCUCACCUCUAGCAGGCCUGGUUUUAUCCCCUUCCCC
ensembl:lncRNA